rnacentral:sRNA from 1 species
UACCUUACAAGGACCAUAUAUUAUAUAUGUAUAUAUAUAUAUAUAGAUCCCACGGACCUACGUUAAAAAAAGUCAUACUGUUAUUCUGUUAACUAC